AUGUAUAUAUUCAAUAGGAAACAUACGGUAUUUGUGGUGAAGAACUGCAUAAAAUCCGUACAUGAAUCAGUAGAAGAAGCUGAAGCUGCCGAUUCUGGACCAUACAAAUAUAAAAUUUCAUCUGCAGACAUACCAAAAAUUUCAGGUAUAUGCGAAAUUUCAAAUUUCCGAUUUUAUGCGGCGUACCAGGAAUUUUUGAAAUUUCCGAAAUUUGUUAUAUUUUUUUUUGUAAAUCGCUUUGGAAAUUUUGAAAUUUCCAGUAAAUCGCCCCCGGAAAUUUUUGAAAUUCAAAAAAAUUCUUGUAAAUACAUAAUUUUGGUAUUGAAAAUUUUGUACCAGAAACUUACUAUUUCACCCUCUUAA